rnacentral:rRNA from 1 species
ACGGGAGGCAGCAGUAGGGAAUAUUGCACAAUGGGGGAAACCCUGAUGCAGCAACGCCACGUGUGGGAAGAAGCAUUUCGGUGUGUAAACCACUGUCGUGAAGGAAUAAGGCUUAUUUUCGGAUAAGUUGAAUGUACUUUGAAAGGAAGCACCGGCAAACUUCGUGCCAGCAGCCGCGGUAAUACGAGGGGUGCAAGCGUUGUUCGGAAUCACUGGGCGUAAAGGGAGCGCAGGCGGAGAUGCAAGCAGUCUGUACAAUACCGGGGCCCAACCCCGGACCUGCAGACUGGACUGUUUCUCUUGGAUAGCUCAGGGGCUGGCGGAAUUCCUGGUGUAGCGGUGGAAUGCGUAGAGAUCAGGAAGAACACCGAUGGCGAAGGCAGCCUGCUGGGGACUCAUCGACGCUGAGGCUCGAAAGUGCGGGUAGCAAACAGGAUUAGAUACCCUGGUA